UUGGAGGGCAAGUCUGGUGCCAGCAGCCGCGGUAAUUCCAGCUCCAAUAGCGUAUAUUAAAGUUGUUGCAGUUAAAAAGCUCGUAGUUGAAUUUCGGGAUCAAUAUGUUGGUCGUGCCUUGGUACGUACUGGCGUCAUUGGUUUCUACCUUCUGAAGAACCUCGAUGUCAUUAAUUUGGUGUCUUGGGGAAUCAGGACUGUUACUUUGAAAAAAUUAGAGUGUUUAAAGCAAGCUCACGCUUGAAUACAUUAGCAUGGAAUAAUGAAAUAGGACGUUUGAUUCUAUUUUGUUGGUUUCUAGGAUCGACGUAAUGAUUAAUAGGGAUAGUUGGGGGCAUUAGUAUUCAAUUGUCAGAGGUGAAAUUCUUGGAUUUAUUGAAGACUAACUACUGCGAAAGCAUUUGCCAAGGAUGUUUUCAUUAAUCAAGAACGAAAGUUAGGGGAUCGAAGACGAUCAGAUACCGUCGUAGUCUUAACCAUAAACUAUGCCGACUAGGGAUCGGAUGAUGUUAAUUUUUUAAUGACUCAUUCGGCGCCUUACGGGAAACCAAAGUGUUUGGGUUC
rnacentral:rRNA from 1 species